UGAGGAAUAUUGGUCAAUGGGCGAAAGCCUGAACCAGCCAUAUCGCGUGCAGGAUGACGGCCCUAUGGGUUGUAAACUGCUUUUAUACGGGAAGAAUAAGUCCCUCGUGAGGGAAAUUGACGGUACCGUAAGAAUAAGGAUCGGCUAACUCCGUGCCAGCAGCCGCGGUAAUACGGAGGAUCCAAGCGUUAUCCGGAUUUAUUAGGUUUAAAGGGUGUGUAGGCGGAAUUUUAAGUCAGUGGUGAAAUCUCUCGGCUCAACCGGGAAACUGCCAUUGAUACUAUUAUUCUUGAGUACAGUUGAGGUAGGCGGAAUGUGUCAUGUAGCGGUGAAAUGCUUAGAGAUGACACAGAACACCGAUUGCGUAGGCAGCUUACUAAACUGUUACUGACGCUGAUGCACGAAAGCGUGGGGAGCGAACAGG
rnacentral:rRNA from 1 species